UACAGAGGUCCCAAGCGUUGUUCGGAUUCACUGGGCGUAAAGGGUGCGUAGGUGGCGAGGUAAGUCUGAUGUGAAAUCUCCGAGCUUAACUCGGAAACUGCAUCGGAUACUGCCUUGCUCGAGGGUUGGAGGGGGGACUGGAAUACUUGGUGUAGCAGUGAAAUGCGUAGAUAUCAAGUGGAACACCAGUGGCGAAGGCGAGUCCCUGGACAACUCCUGACACUGAGGCACGAAAGCUAGGGGAGCAAACAGG
rnacentral:rRNA from 1 species